rnacentral:rRNA from 1 species
UACGUAGGGUGCGAGCGUUAAUCGGAAUUACUGGGCGUAAAGCGUGCGCAGGCGGUUUUGUAAGCCAGAUGUGAAAUCCCCGGGCUUAACCUGGGAAUGGCAUUUGGGACUGCAAGGCUUGAGUGCGGCAGAGGAGACUGGAAUUCCUGGUGUAGCAGUGAAAUGCGUAGAUAUCAGGAGGAAUACCUAUAGCGAAGGCAGCUCGCUGGGACGGUACUGACGCUGAGGCGCGAAAGCGUGGGGAGCGAACAGG